rnacentral:ncRNA from 2 species
UACAUAAACAAGGGGUGCCACUUUGGCUGAGAAAUACCCUCAUUAUUGGAUCAAGUUCGUACUUGCGUCAAGAUGUUUACUCCUUUUUGU